rnacentral:rRNA from 1 species
ACGUAGGGUGCGAGCGUUAAUCGGAAUUACUGGGCGUAAAGCGUGCGCAGGCGGUUAUAUAAGACAGAUGUGAAAUCCCCGGGCUUAACCUGGGAACUGCGUUUGUGACUGUAUAACUCGAGUGUGGCAGAGGGGGGUGGAAUUCCACGUGUAGCAGUGAAAUGCGUAGAGAUGUGGAGGAACACCGAUGGCGAAGGCAGCCCCCUGGGUCAACACUGACGCUCAUGCACGAAAGCGUGGGGAGCAAACAGGAUUAGAUACCCUGGUAGUCCACGCCCUAAACGAUGCGAACUAGGUGUUGGGGAAGGAGACUUUCUUAGUACCGCAGCUAACGCGUGAAGUUCGCCGCCUGGGGAGUACGGUCGCAAGAUUA